UGUCCAGACUCCUACGGGAGGCAGCAGUGGGGGAUAUUGGACAAUGGGGGGAACCCUGAUCCAGCGACGCCGCGUGGGUGAAGAAGUAUUUCGGUAUGUAAAGCUCUGUCAGCAGGGAAGAAAGCAAUGACGGUACCUGACCAAGAAGCCCCGGCUAACUACGUGCCAGCAGCCGCGGUAAUACGUAGGGGGCAAGCGUUAUCCGGAUUUAUUGGGUUUAAAGGGUGCGCAGGCGGAAGAUCAAGUCAGCGGUAAAAUUGAGGGGCUCAACCUCUUCGAGCCGUUGAAACUGGUUUUCUUGAGUGAGCGAGAAGUAUGCGGAAUGCGUGGUGUAGCGGUGAAAUGCAUAGAUAUCACGCAGAACUCCGAUUGCGAAGGCAGCAUACCGGCGCUCAACUGACGCUCAUGCACGAAAGUGUGGGUAUCGAACAGGAUUAGAUACCCUAGUACU
rnacentral:rRNA from 1 species